ensembl:lncRNA LINC00472 long intergenic non-protein coding RNA 472
GCGGCCGGUGGGGACUGCGGGGCGGGCCGGAGUCCGUCCGAGGGCUCCCGCACCUCGGGCUGCGGGAACAUUAAAAUCUCCCCAGAUGCUCACUGCUCUGAUCAUUUCCCCUACAGCACCAGACAUGUUGGCAUCAUCUCUUAGUUGGGCCAUGUGGCCAGGGAACCCUUCAUGAAACCACCUCUGCAGUCCUGGAGAGUUGCUGUAGAAGAAGGAAAAGAGAGGAAGACAACACAACACAGGAGGGGAUAAGUACCUCUGGACACAAUGGAAGUAGUAGUUGUUGAGCAGAGGGAAAGGGAUAGGAGAAGGAUGUGGACUGCAGUGCUGCAGUGCCAGGAAGUUCGAGGACCUUCAGAAAUCAAUCCAUGGGCUCCACAAGCACUGUAUCAAGAGGCAUUCGAGACCAGUCUGGGCUAGAGGAAAUGGGGAAAAGAAGAGAAGGAAGUGAAAGGAAUCUGUUGAGAGAGCAGGUGAAGUGAUCCAAGAAAAGGCAGUGCCAUGGGAACCAAGAAAGGAGACCAAAAGUGAAGAAUGUUGAGUCUGAGCCAGAGAAGGACUGAUGGAGCCAUUGCCACUGUAGCCUCAGAGAGGGCAGCUUCACUAGAACAAUGGCAGCAGAAUGCAGAUGGAGCCAGCGGGGAGAGGAGUGGACAUGAGAGAAAGAUCCCAUAGCCCUCUUGGUCUUGGUUGGAACAGGAGGAAAAUGAAAACUGGACAUCCAUCUUAGGACUUAAUCCUACGGAGACCACAAGCUGGAAGAGGCACUCAAUACUAGCAUGGCUUCUGUGGCAUUUUGAUGAGUAGUAUGGGCUCCACACUGAAAUAUUAAUAUCUUAUUGUUUUGAUGAUGAUGAUGAUGUUCAUUGGCCCAGGGCAAAAGGUAAAGGUUGUGUUAUAAAGCUGAUCUAUUCAAUAUCUGUGGAUGUUAACUCCACCCCAUCCCCUUAUUGAACAAUUACGAUGCCUAUAAAUAUUGUAUUGAGAAAGAAAAAAAAAACUAAGGCAGAAGAUAUCAUAUUACCUGUCCAUAUGUGACAUUUUGGCUGGCCAAGCCAUAAUGGCCAAAGAGGAGCAACUGUCAAAAUUUAAGUGGGGUUAGAAAAGAAGAGAGGAACUUGCACGUUUGCACCUACAAGGACCCUCUUUUCUCCUCUGGUAGCCAUGGAAACCACUCCUUGGACCUCCUUUCAAGAGACUCUGCAUGGGGAGCACAGUUGACUGACAGCUCCAAUUGCUGCUCCUUCGAGUCCACCAUGGCACUCAUGCCCACGCAAUGUUUCCUCCAGGGUUCUCCAGGUAGAGAUGGAGCAGGUGGGGUUGCCAGAGGCAGGCCAUCAGGCCAUCUUGACUGAUGUGGGACUUCUAAUGCUUCCAGGUCUGAAGGCUCACCUGCCACUUCCUGCUCCCUCCUCCUUUACCCUUCACAGGAGUUUCCUCCCCAUAAAUUUCUUGUGUAUCUAGUCCUGUCUUGGCAUCAGCUUCUUGGAGGACUUGAACUGAUAUGCACUCAACAGCCAGUAAAUCCUGCUAAUUCACAAAAUCCUUGAUUAUCAGUACUAAAGAAAGACACUGGGGGUGAAGAUGUCAUCUUCUAAAAGACUUACUGGGGAUAAUCUACCACCAAAUGUAGGUGGCAAAUGCCAUCUUUGAUCACAUAAUGGAAUCAAUGAAGGAGGUUAUUGAUCUGGUUCAGAGGUGACUUUAGAAUGUCCCAAACCCUUUAAAUAUGUGUGUAUUGAGUAUGUGUGCAAUUCUCCUUGAAGAACAUUUAUACCUUUCAUCUCAUUAAUCUACAAAAUUAUCAGCAGUGGCAGCUAAUUGUCAGUUAACUAGGUAGUUGACAAGUCACAUUAACAUGAAAUCUGUGUUUCAUGUAAAUAAAAAAAAUAAAAUGACUUAUUUUAUGCAAUAAUA